UCCGUUGGUGACCAGCGG
rnacentral:rRNA from 1 species